UACAGAGGGUGCGAGCGUUAAUCGGAAUUACUGGGCGUAAAGCGCACGUAGGUGGCGACGUAAGUCGGGUGUGAAAGCCCCGGGCUCAACCUGGGACGUGCAUUCGAGACUGCAUUGCUGGAGUACGGUAGAGGAGGGCGGAAUUCCCGGUGUAGCGGUGAAAUGGGUAGAUAUCGGGAGGAACAUCAGUGGCGAAGGCGGCGCUCUGGUCCAGUACUGACACUCAAGUGCGAAAGCGUGGGGAGCAAACAGG
rnacentral:rRNA from 1 species